rnacentral:tRNA from 1 species
CGAAAUCGCUAGACGCUGCGGACUUAAAAUCCGUUGACUUUGAAAAUCGUGAGGGUUCAAGUCCCUCUAUCCCC